UGCCAGACUCCUACGGGAGGCAGCAGUGGGGAAUAUUGGGCAAUGGGGGAAACCCUGACCCAGCGACGCCGCGUGAGGGAAGAAGGUUUUCGGAUUGUAAACCUCUGUCCUUGGUGACGAUAAUGACGGUAGCCAAGGAGGAAGCCACGGCUAACUACGUGCCAGCAGCCGCGGUAAUACGUAGGGGGCAAGCGUUAUCCGGAUUUACUGGGUGUAAAGGGAGCGUAGACGGUUAUGCAAGUCUGGAGUGAAAGGCGGGGGCUCAACCCCCGGACUGCUCUGGAAACUGUAGAACUAGAGUGCAGGAGGGGUAAGUGGAAUUCCUAGUGUAGCGGUGAAAUGCGGAGAUAUACGGAGGAACACCAGUGGCGAAGGCGGUCUGCUGGACAGCAACUGACGCUGAGGCGCGAAAGCGUGGGGAGCAAACAGGAUUAGAUCCCCCAGUG
rnacentral:rRNA from 1 species